rnacentral:rRNA from 1 species
AGAGUUUGAUCAUGGCUCAGGAUGAACGCUAGCGGCAGGCUUAAUACAUGCAAGUCGAGGGGCAGCAUGACUGUAGCAAUACAGUUGAUGGCGACCGGCAAACGGGUGCGGAACACGUACAGAACCUUCCUUCGAGCGGGGAAUAGCCCAGAGAAAUUUGGAUUAAUACCCCAUAGCAUAACGGAGUGGCAUCACUUUGUUAUUAAAGAUUUAUCACUUGAAGAUGGCUGUGCGGCUGAUUAGGUAGUUGGCGGGGUAACGGCCCACCAAGCCUGCGAUCAGUAACUGGUGUGAGAGCACGACCAGUCACACGGGCACUGAGACACGGGCCCGACUCCUACGGGAGGCAGCAGUAAGGAAUAUUGGUCAAUGGACGAAAGUCUGAACCAGCCAUGCCGCGUGGAGGAUGAAGGUCCUCUGGAUUGUAAACUUCUUUUAUAUGGGACGAAAAAAGGCUUUUCUAAGUCGUCUGACGGUACCAUAUGAAUAAGCACCGGCUAACUCCGUGCCAGCAGCCGCGGUAAUACGGAGGGUGCAAGCGUUAUCCGGAUUCACUGGGUUUAAAGGGUGCGUAGGUGGGUUGGUAAGUCAGUGGUGAAAUCUCCGAGCUUAACUUGGAAACUGCCAUUGAUACUAUCAGUCUUGAAUAUUGUGGAGGUUAGCGGAAUAUGUCAUGUAGCGGUGAAAUGCUUAGAUAUGACACAGAACACCAAUUGCGAAGGCAGCUGGCUACACAUAUAUUGACACUGAGGCACGAAAGCGUGGGGAUCAAACAGGAUUAGAUACCCUGGUAGUCCACG